rnacentral:lncRNA from 1 species
GACCUCUAACUAUACUAUCAAGCAAUGGUCAUCAAAUCUAUAUGGUACUGGCUAAGAGACAGAAGGAAGGAUCAUUGGAAUAGACUUGGGGUUACUGUGGGCUCAAACGAGCCUUUACGUGAUAUUAUCAGCACCAGGGGAUCAGCCCCUGAAGUCUUUUACACCGAGCCAAGCAUCCCUGUGAAGAAUUGA